rnacentral:rRNA from 1 species
AGAGUUUGAUCCUGGCUCAGAGCGAACGCUGGCGGCGUGCUUAACACAUGCAAGUCGAACGCGCAGCAUUCUGUAGCAAUACAGGAUGUGGGCGCGUGGCGAACGGGUGCGUAACACGUGGAUAACCUUCCUUGAGGUGGGGAAUAACCCAGUGAAAAUUGGGCUAAUACCGCAUAACAUCGCGAUGGCACAUGCUGCUGCGAUCAAAGGCGCAAGUCGCCACAAGAGGGAUCCGCGGCCGAUUAGCUUGUUGGCGAGGUAAUGGCUCACCAAGGCAAUGAUCGGUAGCCGGACUGAGAGGUUGGCCGGCCACACUGGAACUGAGACACGGUCCAGACUCCUACGGGAGGCAGCAGUGGGGAAUCUUGCACAAUGGACGAAAGUCUGAUGCAGCAACGCCGCGUGGGGGAUGAAGCUUCUCGGAGUGUAAACCCCUUUCGACCCGGAAGAAUGCCCGCAAGGGUAUGACGGUACGGGUAUAAGAAGCCCCGGCUAACUACGUGCCAGCAGCCGCGGUAAUACGUAGGGGGCCAGCGUUGCUCGGAAUUACUGGGCGUAAAGGGUCCGUAGGCGGUGUAGCAAGUCGAUAGUGAAAUCUCUGGGCUUAACCCAGAGGCUGCUAACGAAACUGCUGUGCUAGAGUGUGAGAGAGGCGAGUGGAAUUACGGGUGUAGCGGUGAAAUGCGUAGAUAUCCGUAGGAACAUCCGAGGCGAAGGCGGCUCGCUGGAUCACAACUGACGCUGAGGGACGAAAGCUAGGGGAGCAAACAGGAUUAGAUACCCUAGUAGUCC